rnacentral:rRNA from 1 species
AGCGGCGGACGGGUGAGUAACGCGUGGGUAACCUGCCUCAUACACAUGGAUAACAUACCGAAAGGUUUGCUAAUACAAGAUGAUAUAAGAGAUUCGCAUGGAUUUCUUAUCAAAGCUCCGGCGGUAUGAGAUGGACCCGCGUCUGAUUAGCUAGUUGGUAAGGUAACGGCUUACCAAGGCGACGAUCAGUAGCCGACCUGAGAGGGUGAUCGGCCACAUUGGAACUGAGACACGGUCCAAACUCCUACGGGAGGCAGCAGUGGGGAAUAUUGCACAAUGGGCGAAAGCCUGAUGCAGCAACGCCGCGUGAGCGAUGAAGGCCUUCGGGUCGUAAAGCUCUGUCCUCAAGGAAGAUAAUGACGGUACUUGAGGAGGAAGCCCCGGCUAACUACGUGCCAGCAGCCGCGGUAAUACGUAGGGGGCUAGCGUUAUCCGGAUUUACUGGGCGUAAAGGGUGCGUAGGUGGUUUCUUAAGUCAGGAGUGAAAGGCUACGGCUCAACCGUAAUAAGCUCUUGAAACUGGGAAACUUGAGUGCAGGAGAGGAAAGUGGAAUUCCUAGUGUAGCGGUGAAAUGCGUAGAUAUUAGGAGGACCACCAGUAGCGAAGGCGGCUUUCUGGACUGUAACUGACACUGAGGCACGAAAGCGUGGGGAGCAAACAGGAUUAGAUACCCUGGUAGUCCACGCCGUAAACGAUGAGUACUAGGUGU